rnacentral:rRNA from 1 species
UACGGAGGAUCCGAGCGUUAUCCGGAUUUACUGGGCGUAAAGCGCGUGCAGGCGGUUCAGCAAGUUGGAUGUGAAAGCUCCCGGCUUAACUGGGAGAGGUCGUUCAAAACUACUGGACUAGAGAGUGGUAGAGGGAGGUGGAAUUCCGGGUGUAGUGGUGAAAUGCGUAGAUAUCCGGAGGAACACCAGUGGCGAAAGCGGCCUCCUGGACCAUUUCUGACGCUCAGACGCGAAAGCUAGGGUAG